rnacentral:lncRNA from 1 species
UGGGUUUUUGGGUUUCUGGAUAUAUGAUUCCUAGGUUUCAAUUUCUGGGGUUUUUUUUUUUUUUUUGCUAUUUGGUGGAAGGUUGCUUUCAAUUUGUAAAAGUUAUUGCUUUCAAUUUCUACCACCACCAGCUUUUCGUUCUUCUUCUCCCUCACCCCCUCACCCUCACCCUCACCCUCACCCUCCCUCCCCCAAACCCCAAACCAAAACCAGAGGUCGAUGUUGAGAGUUUCAUGCCACAUAGGAUAUCUGGAUUUCUUAUCUCAUUUUUUGGCGUUGUUGGCUUUUUGGUUGUUGAGGUUGAAAAUGAUGGGAUGGUGGUGGGGUUGGAGGUGUGUGUUCUUAG